GGUUCCAUAGUAUAAUUGGAUAGUACAUCCGCCUCCUAAGCGGCUGACCCCGGUUCGACCCCGGGUGGAACCA
rnacentral:tRNA from 1 species